GUGGGUGAGUGCAAGGAGUGCAGUUGCCUCCUCCAGCUGCAGCGCCUUCCAUCCUGCUGGGGACACCAUUUUCACAGGCAGCCCUCUGUCCAUGACUAAGCCCAGCAGGGAUACCAGAACCAGGCCAUUUCUGCCCAACAAGGGACAACUUUAUUGGUGAUCUUUACUCUGGAGUAACCCCUUGGGUUGGUCAAGCCUGUGCUGUAGUCUGAGGCCCUUGUUUCCUGACUGCUUUCUCCACUGUUUCCAUUCUCAGAUGUCAGCCAGCAUCAGAGUCCAGGGCUUUCCCUGCCCAAUCCUGCUUCGCCUCUCUUUGUGACUCACAGGUCAUAAGCCUCCACUAACCCUAGCCCUAUGUAGCCCUGACCCUUGCAUUACUAACUGGGCCUGACUCUCUGCUUACUGGAGGACCCAACUAACACAAGAAAUAGAUUGGGGUCCAUGCCUCAUGCCUGUAAUCCCAGCACUUUAGGAGGACUAAAGGAGGUGGGAGGAUCACUUGAGUCCAGGGGUCUGAGUCCAGCCUGGGCAAUAUAGUGAGACACUGUCUCUACAGAAAAUGUAAAUUUUAGUCAGAUGUGGUGGCACGUAUCUAUAGUCCCAGCUGCUCGGGAGGCUGAAGUGGGAGGGUCAUUUGAACCUAGGAGGUUGAGGCUAUAGUGAGCCACGAUGGCACCACUGUAUUCCAGCUUGGGUGACAGAUGGAGACUUUGUUUCAAGGGGAAAAAAAAAAAAAAGAAAGAAAGAAAAGAAAAAACACGAAUAUGUGCUUAUUGUAAAAAGUGUGAGAUGUUACUAAGCAGUAUAAUUAGAAGUGAGAGGUCUUCCUCCACACCACCACCAUGCUCCCCAAGCAACUACUGUUAACAGUUUGAUGUAACCUUCUAGACCUAUUACAGUAGACACCAGCAUGUCACUGCCAAGCACUUGAAAUGUGGUGAGUCCUAAUAGAGAUGAGCUGUAAGUAUAAAAAUACAUCUUGAAUUUCAUCUGGGUGUGGUGGCUCAUGCCUUCAAUCCGAGCACUUUGGGAGGCCAAGGCGGGGUA
rnacentral:lncRNA from 1 species